UUUUUUGCCAUCAAAUGGCUCAUCUAGUGUGA
rnacentral:piRNA from 1 species